GAGUUUGAUCCUGGCUCAGGAUGAACGCUGGCGGCGUGCCUAAUACAUGCAAGUCGAGCGCGUGAAAUUAAACAGAUCUCUUCGGAGUGACGUUUAAUGGAUCGAGCGGCGGAUGGGUGAGUAACACGUGGGCAACCUGCCUAUAAGACUGGGAUAACUUACGGAAACGUGAGCUAAUACCGGAUAAAACCUUUUGUCUCCUGACAAGAGGAUAAAAGAUGGCGCAAGCUAUCACUUAUAGAUGGGCCCGCGGCGCAUUAGCUAGUUGGUGAGAUAAAAGCUCACCAAGGCAACGAUGCGUAGCCGACCUGAGAGGGUGAUCGGCCACACUGGGACUGAGACACGGCCCAGACUCCUACGGGAGGCAGCAGUAGGGAAUCUUCCGCAAUGGACGAAAGUCUGACGGAGCAACGCCGCGUGAACGAAGAAGGUCUUCGGAUCGUAAAGUUCUGUUGUUAGGGAAGAACACGUACCAUUCGAAUAGGGUGGUACCUUGACGGUACCUAACGAGAAAGCCCCGGCUAACUACGUGCCAGCAGCCGCGGUAAUACGUAGGGGGCAAGCGUUGUCCGGAAUUAUUGGGCGUAAAGCGCGCGCAGGCGGUUCUUUAAGUCUGAUGUGAAAUCUUGCGGCUCAACCGCAAGCGGUCAUUGGAAACUGGAGAACUUGAGGACAGAAGAGGAGAGUGGAAUUCCACGUGUAGCGGUGAAAUGCGUAGAGAUGUGGAGGAACACCAGUGGCGAAGGCGACUCUCUGGUCUGUAACUGACGCUGAGGCGCGAAAGCGUGGGUAGCGAACAGGAUUAGAUACCCUGGUAGUCCACGCCGUAAACGAUGAGUGCUAGGUGUUAGGGGGUUUCCGCCCCUUAGUGCUGGCGUUAACGCAUUAAGCACUCCGCCUGGGGAGUACGGCCGCAAGGCUGAAACU
rnacentral:rRNA from 1 species